GAACUGCUGUCGACUGGUCCAGAUGCUUGGGAUGAAGCCUGGUCCGGAUUCUAUAGGAAUCAUUGCUGUUUCCCACAACUGUAGUGGAGUUGCAGCAGGAGCUUGCGGUCUUGUGAGUUUAGAGCCCACAAAGGUCGCUGAGAUCCUCAAAAAUCGUCCAUCU